rnacentral:rRNA from 1 species
AUUGAACGCUGGCGGCAUGCCUUACACAUGCAAGUCGAACGGUAACGGGCCUUCGGGUGCCGACGAGUGGCGAACGGGUGAGUAAUGCAUCGGAACGUACCUUUCAGUGGGGGAUAACGUAGCGAAAGUUACGCUAAUACCGCAUAUUCUGUGAGCAGGAAAGCAGGGGAUCGCAAGACCUUGCGCUGAUUGAGCGGCCGAUGUCAGAUUAGCUAGUUGGUGAGGUAAAAGGCUCACCAAGGCGACGAUCUGUAGCGGGUCUGAGAGGAUGAUCCGCCACACUGGAACUGAGACACGGUCCAGACUCCUACGGGAGGCAGCAGUGGGGAAUUUUGGACAAUGGGGGCAACCCUGAUCCAGCCAUGCCGCGUGAGUGAAGAAGGCC